GCUAUACAUGCAGUCGAGCGGACCGAAUGGGAGCUUGCUCUUGUUCGGUCAGCGGCGGACGGGUGAGUAACACGUGGGCAACCUGCCCGCAAGACCGGGAUAACUCCGGGAAACCGGAGCUAAUACCGGAUAACACCGAAGACCGCAUGGUCUUUGGUUGAAAGGCGGCGCAAGCUGCCACUUGCGGAUGGGCCCGCGGCGCAUUAGCUAGUUGGUGAGGUAACGGCUCACCAAGGCGACGAUGCGUAGCCGGCCUGAGAGGGUGACCGGCCACACUGGGACUGAGACACGGCCCAGACUCCUACGGGAGGCAGCAGUAGGGAAUCUUCCGCAAUGGGCGAAAGCCUGACGGAGCGACGCCGCGUGAGCGAAGAAGGCCUUCGGGUCGUAAAGCUCUGUUGUGAGGGACGAAGGAGCGUCGUUCGAAGAGGGCGGCGCGGUGACGGUACCUCACGAGGAAGCCCCGGCUAACUACGUGCCAGCAGCCGCGGUAAUACGUAGGGGGCGAGCGUUGUCCGGAAUUAUUGGGCGUAAAGCGCGCGCAGGCGGUUCCUUAAGUCUGAUGUGAAAGCCCACGGCUCAACCGUGGAGGGUCAUUGGAAACUGGGGGACUUGAGUGCAGGAGAGGAGAGCGGAAUUCCACGUGUAGCGGUGAAAUGCGUAGAGAUGUGGAGGAACACCAGUGGCGAAGGCGGCUCUCUGGCCUGCAACUGACGCUGAGGCGCGAAA
rnacentral:rRNA from 1 species